rnacentral:rRNA from 1 species
UGCGUGGCGGCAGCUACCAUGCAGUCGAGCGGUAACAGGGGUAGCUUGCUACCCGCUGACGAGCGGCGGACGGGUGAGUAAUGCAUAGGAAUCUGCCCGAUAGUGGGGGAUAACCUGGGGAAACCCAGGCUAAUACCGCAUACGUCCUACGGGAGAAAGGGGGCUCCGGCUCCCGCUAUUGGAUGAGCCUAUGUCGGAUUAGCUAGUUGGUAAGGUAAUGGCUUACCAAGGCAACGAUCCGUAGCUGGUCUGAGAGGAUGAUCAGCCACAUCGGGACUGAGACACGGCCCGAACUCCUACGGGAGGCAGCAGUGGGGAAUAUUGGACAAUGGGGGCAACCCUGAUCCAGCCAUGCCGCGUGUGUGAAGAAGGCCCUCGGGUUGUAAAGCACUUUCAGCGAGGAAGAACGCCUAUCGGUUAAUACCCGGUAGGAAAGACAUCACUCGCAGAAGAAGCACCGGCUAACUCCGUGCCAGCAGCCGCGGUAAUACGGAGGGUGCAAGCGUUAAUCGGAAUUACUGGGCGUAAAGCGCGCGUAGGUGGCUUGAUAAGCCGGUUGUGAAAGCCCCGGGCUCAACCUGGGAACGGCAUCCGGAACUGUCAGGCUAGAGUGCAGGAGAGGAAGGUAGAAUUCCCGGUGUAGCGGUGAAAUGCGUAGAGAUCGGGAGGAAUACCAGUGGCGAAGGCGGCCUUCUGGACUGACACUGACACUGAGGUGCGAAAGCGUGGGUAGCAAACAGGAUUAGAUACCCUGGUAGUCCACGCCGUAAACGAUGUCGACCAGCCGUUGGGUGCCUAGAGCACUUUGUGGCGAAGUUAACGCGAUAAGUCGACCGCCUGGGGAGUACGGCCGCAAGGUUAAAACUCAAAUGAAUUGACGGGGGCCCGCACAAGCGGUGGAGCAUGUGGUUUAAUUCGAUGCAACGCGAAAACCUUACCUACCCUUGACAUCUACAGAAGCCGAGAGAUUCUGUGUGCCUUCGGGAACUGUAGACAGUGCUGCAUGCUGUCGUCAGCUCGUGUUGUGAAAUGUGGUUAAGUCCCGUACCG